ACACUUCAAACCAGUAGGUCCUGGCAUGCCUUGAGGGAGGGGCAUUAAAGCCAAGGAAAGACUGACCCCUUAUAUUUCCAGGGUGAGAUUUCUGUUCAGCCCUUCCAAGGGUUAAAUUGAUAGAAGAAGGUUCCUAGAAAGGCUUCACACUCAAGGGUCCUCCUCUUCCUCCUUCUGCUAUUUGUGUGAUUCUUCCAGACCCCUUUCUAAGUAGUGAAUGGAGAGAGCACUCUACCAAUUGACAUCCAGGCAGAUCUGAAUAUACCCAUGAGCACUGAUCAGAGAUGGAACAAGACUCCAAUGAUCCUAAGGAAAAACAUGGCCCUCCUAGGAAGGACCACACAGAAGACCUUCUUGGAGGAGGUGUUCAAAGUGGACGUCCAGCUACAGCACUUCAGGUGGUUCUGCUAUGACGAAGCUAUGGGUCCCCGAGAGGUGUGCAGCCGCCUCCACUCUCUCUGCCGCCUGUGGCUGAAGCCUGAGGAACAUACAAAGGCGGAGAUGCUGGACCUGGUGCUCCUGGAGUUCCUCUGGAGUUUCUGGCAGAGAAAUAGCUAGUUCCUUCCCAUCAAAACUAUUUCUGAAAUGUCAGUUUGGGAAACAUAAUAGAUAAUUAUUUAGAGAUAAAGAAAUAAUGGUAUGAACAGAGAGGCACACAAGGACUGGUUACCAGCUGAAUCCUGAGUAACAGAUAUCAAAUCUAAUUGGAAAUGCCAUCUGAAUGAUAUCUAAAGCAGGGAGGUUAAGUUUUUUAAAUCCCUAAAAUUCAAGUGUUGUUUUCAAUGGUGAUUGAAAGCAGUAAACAUCGUACCAUGGUUCAUCUAACACUGUGAAACAUGUAAAAUAUCUUUUGUUUUAAUACAAAGACCCAGUUUCUAUUGAUAGACAGAUUGUUGGCACUCAAGAUAGUUUAAGAACUCAUGAAUAUAGUAUGUACAAAAUGAAUGCAAACAAAUAACAACUCUGCCUCCUCUUCCAAAAAAAAAGUCGUAAUUGGACAUAGCGAAAUCAACAUUUGCAUCUAAUGAAUUUCCGUAACAGCUAUUAGAAGACUCGCUCAAACCUAUAGACAGAACAUACAUUUUACGAAAUUAAUUGAAACUUAAUUCCAUAGUAGAGACCACAGUCCAUUGAUGAGACUAAAUGUGUCUGUCCAACUCCAUUUGUUCCUGAAACUAUGCUCCUUAUAUUUAUUAACCAACAAUAAAUAUUUAUGAAAAAUA